UACGUAGGUGGCAAGCGUUGUUCGGAAUUACUGGGCGUAAAGCGCGCGUAGGCGGCUCUUCAAGUCAGACGUGAAAGCCCCGGGCUUAACUCGGGAACUGCGUUUGAUACUGUCGGGCUAGAGUGUGGAAGGGGCGAUUGGAAUUCCGUGUGUAGCGGUGAAAUGCGUAGAUAUUGGGAGGAACACCGGUGGCGAAGGCGGCUAUCUGGACCGGUACUGACGCUGAUACGCGAAAGCCAGGGGAGCAAACGGG
rnacentral:rRNA from 1 species